GGGAAGAUGGCCGAGCGGUUAUGGCGUAAGUUACCACAGUAUAACGUCGUCCACCUCAACACCAUCUAACAGCAUCACAGGCUAGUUUCAGGUCUUCUGAAAAGAGUCCCGAAGACAGGGUUUACUAGUUGGGAAACCUUCGUGGGUUCGAGUCCCACUCUUCUCA
rnacentral:tRNA from 1 species